UUAGUUAGCAUUGCACUUGCAUGGCUAAAACCUUCUUUAAUCAUAUACAGACCCCUUGUGACCCUCAACCAUUUAUUGAUCCCUUCGAUAGUACCAUCAACCCUUGGCAGUGGAUAUUUGGAGAACCGUGGGCUACAAUAUCUGGAGAACCCUAGGCUACAACAUAUGGAGAAUCCUGGGCUACAAUAUCUAGAGAAUCAUGGGCUACAAUAUCUGGAGAACCCUGGACUACAAUAUCUGGUGGUGGUGGUGGUGCUGCUGCUGCUGGUGUUGCUGGUGUUGGUGCUGGUGCUGCUGAUGCUGCUGGUGGUACUGCUGGUGCUGCUGCUGCUGGUACUGGUGCUGCUGGUGCCGCUGCUGGUUCUCCACGAUGGUUGUGACGACAACAUCAACGAUGGUGGUGGUGGUGAUAGUAGGAAUGAUGGUGGUAGCUGGACAGGUGCUGGCGCAGGAAGUUCCCACCAACGUCAGGAACUGCCAGAGUCGAGGAGGGGAGUGUGUGCCCACCGACCAGUGUGGCAAGGCUCCCAGUGAUGCCCUGGGAAAAUGUUCAGAGGGCAAGGUCUGCUGUGUCUUCCUCUGGCGAUAAAUCUUCACGUUCCCCUUAGUCUCCCAGGUCCCUGAUCCUCCAGGUCCCUCCUGUUGCAGGUACCUGCUGCUCCAGGUACCUGCGGCUCCAGGUCCACAUAGUUUCCUCUACCCGUGCAGUCUUCGAGUUCAGGUAGCCAUCAAGUUCCAUCUAAAAACAAAUUUCGGCUUUCGUCAGGUCCAAGCAACCCCCAGAUAUCGGUAACUACCAGAUCCCAGCAGCCCCCA